rnacentral:rRNA from 1 species
CCCUUUUAGGGGGGGACCCUUGGGUCCGGGGUUGAGGAAGAACCCAGCAACGUGGGGUUCUUGGUGGAAUUGCAGGACACCAGAACAUCGACAUUUUGAACGCAAAUCGCAGUCCAUGCUGUUUGUACUUUAAUUAAUUUAUAGUGCUGCUUGGACUACAUAUGGUUGAGGGUUG